GAUGAACGCUGGCGGCGUGCCUAAUACAUGCAAGUCGAGCGAACAGACGAGGAGCUUGCUCCUCUGACGUUAGCGGCGGACGGGCGAGUAACACGUGGAUAACCUACCUAUAAGACUGGGAUAACUUCGGGAAACCGGAGCUAAUACCGGAUAAUAUAUUCAACCGCAUGGUUCAAUAGUGAAAGACGGUUUUGCUGUCACUUAUAGAUGGAUCCGCGCCGCAUUAGCUAGUUGGUAAGGUAACGGCUUACCAAGGCAACGAUGCGUAGCCGACCUGAGAGGGUGAUCGGCCACACUGGAACUGAGACACGGUCCAGACUCCUACGGGAGGCAGCAGUAGGGAAUAUUCCACAAUGGGCGCAAGCCUGACGGAGCAACACCGCGUGAGUGAUGAAGGUCUUCGGGUCGUAAAGCUCUGUUAUUAGGAAAGAAAAGAUGUGUAAGUAACUAUGCACGUCUUGACGGUACCUAAUCAGUAAGCCACGGCUAACUACGUG
rnacentral:rRNA from 1 species